rnacentral:tRNA from 1 species
AGCACCUCGUUUACACCGAGGGGGUUGGGGGUUCGAGUCCCUCAUCGCGCACCA